rnacentral:rRNA from 1 species
AAAUUGAAGAGUUUGAUCAUGGCUCAGAUUGAACGCUGGCGGCAGGCCUAACACAUGCAAGUCGAACGGUAGCACAGAGAGCUUGCUCUCGGGUGACGAGUGGCGGACGGGUGAGUAAUGUCUGGGAAACUGCCUGAUGGAGGGGGAUAACUACUGGAAACGGUGGCUAAUACCGCAUAACGUCGCAAGACCAAAGAGGGGGACCUUCGGGCCUCUUGCCAUCAGAUGUGCCCAGAUGGGAUUAGCUUGUUGGUGAGGUAACGGCUCACCAAGGCGACGAUCCCUAGCUGGUCUGAGAGGAUGACCAGCCACACUGGAACUGAGACACGGUCCAGACUCCUACGGGAGGCAGCAGUGGGGAAUAUUGCACAAUGGGCGCAAGCCUGAUGCAGCCAUGCCGCGUGUAUGAAGAAGGCCUUCGGGUUGUAAAGUACUUUCAGCGGGGAGGAAGGUGUUGCGGUUAAUAACCGCAGCAAUUGACGUUACCCGCAGAAGAAGCACCGGCUAACUCCGUGCCAGCAGCCGCGGUAAUACGGAGGGUGCAAGCGUUAAUCGGAAUUACUGGGCGUAAAGCGCACGCAGGCGGUCUGUCAAGUCGGAUGUGAAAUCCCCGGGCUCAACCUGGGAACUGCAUUCGAAACUGGCAGGCUUGAGUCUUGUAGAGGGGGGUAGAAUUCCAGGUGUAGCGGUGAAAUGCGUAGAGAUCUGGAGGAAUACCGGUGGCGAAGGCGGCCCCCUGGACAAAGACUGACGCUCAGGUGCGAAAGCGUGGGGAGCAAACAGGAUUAGAUACCCUGGUAGUCCACGCCGUAAACGAUGUCUACUUGGAGGUUGUGCCCUUGAGGCGUGGCUUCCGGAGCUAACGCGUUAAGUAGACCGCCUGGGGAGUACGGCCGCAAGGUUAAAACUCAAAUGAAUUGACGGGGGCCCGCACAAGCGGUGGAGCAUGUGGUUUAAUUCGAUGCAACGCGAAGAACCUUACCUGGUCUUGACAUCCACAGAACUUUCCAGAGAUGGACUGGUGCCUUCGGGAACUGUGAGACAGGUGCUGCAUGGCUGUCGUCAGCUCGUGUUGUGAAAUGUUGGGUUAAGUCCCGCAACGAGCGCAACCCUUAUCCUUUGUUGCCAGCGAUUAGGUCGGGAACUCAAAGGAGACUGCCAGUGAUAAACUGGAGGAAGGUGGGGAUGACGUCAAGUCAUCAUGGCCCUUACGACCAGGGCUACACACGUGCUACAAUGGCGCAUACAAAGAGAAGCGACCUCGCGAGAGCAAGCGGACCUCAUAAAGUGCGUCGUAGUCCGGAUUGGAGUCUGCAACUCGACUCCAUGAAGUCGGAAUCGCUAGUAAUCGUGGAUCAGAAUGCCACGGUGAAUACGUUCCCGGGCCUUGUACACACCGCCCGUCACACCAUGGGAGUGGGUUGCAAAAGAAGUAGGUAGCUUAACCUUCGGGAGGGCGCUUACCACUUUGUGAUUCAUGACUGGGGUGAAGUCGUAACAAGGUAACCGUAGGGGAACCUGCGGUUGGAUCACCUCCUUACCUUAAAGAAGC